AGGGGGUAGAGAGAGGGGCGUCCAUAGUCAGACCCCAGCCCUAGUAUUGCCCUUCUAGCCCUCAAGUGAAGUGAGGGAGUGACCUUGGUGCUGAGUGGAGGUGAGUGUUGACAUGGCUGCUGUCAGGCUGAGGGACUGGGGUAUUUCUGUUACGUUUGUGCAAAAUUUACAGGCGAGAAGUGUUGCUGUUUGUAUCCUAGGAGGUGUCAUGUUAAGUGUGGUAUUUUGUCUGGGAUGAACCUGGAGAAUAUACCUAAAAUCAAUUGGAUAUGCACCCCAUGCCUCCAUACAGCAUCAAUGGCUACCAGCAUCGUGGAAAAACUGGAUGAAUUCAAGUGAGAAUUAUCUAAGGAAAUAUCUGUGGUUAAAGAUGAGGUUGAGUUAAGGGCUGUGAAGGUGCAGGAGCUGGGAUGAGUUGUUGACAUGCUUAAAUGUUCUGAGCUGAUGUGGCAGAGAGGAGGAAAAAGGUCAAUAAAACUCUCUUAGUUCUAAAAGCUUCUACACAGGGAAAGAAGGCAUAGACAGGAGACCAAGGAAAAAAUAUAGGAGACCAUCUUAGACAGCAAUGAGUUCUUACACGCAAUUCAGGGUGUUGAGGAUAAGACUGAGCUGUUUUUUGUAAGCCUGCAGCUGGGGGCACGAUGCACUACAUAUUGAGGUGUGACCCAACUGUGAGAGAGCUGAUUCUGGAUAUAUGAUGUGCAGGGCAGCCGUACAGGUGCAUAACAUGUAUAUUAAUUGGCUGUUGGGGGGACGGGGGAGCCAGGUGUGCAUGGGAGGGAAGUGAAUCAAGUGUUAUUUUUAAGUGUUGGUGUGUUGUGACCAGUGAGUGUGUGUUUGUUUUCUCAAUGAGUCUAUUGUACCGCAGUCUAAAAUCUGACAAGAAUCAUGACAGUCUAUUGUACCAGUCUAAAAUCUGACAAGAAUCAAGACAGUCUAUUGUACCGGUCUAAAAUCUGACAAGAAUCACAAGAAGCUAAAAGUAGAAUGAGGAAUAGACACGGUGAGAGACAGAUACCAUGCAAUUAUAUGCUAUCAUUGUGAGGGAUACAGCCAUCUUGAGGUCAUCUGUACUGCCAAGACCUAUGGAAACACCCCAAAUUGUUUCAAAUUCACUGGCAAUCAUAAAUCACAGGAGUGCACCAUGGCUCAGAAGAAAUAAGCUCCCUCCUGACAUAAGAAGAACAAAGAAUCUCUCCAAAUUUAAGAAAGAACUAUAAACAUCUCUGACAUGGAAGCAUUGACAAUUGGAAAGUUUCGUUUAGUCGGUGCAACAUCUGUGGUCAUAUGCCGGAGAGAGACAGAAGGGGAAGGAAGGAAGGUUUUGUUUAGUGGGCGCAACAUCUGUGGUCAUAUGCCGGAGAGAGACAGAAGGGGAAGGAAGGAAAGUUUUGUUUAGUGGGCGCAACAUCUGUGGUCAUAUGCCGGAGAGAGACAGAAGGGGAAGGAAGGAAAGUUUUGUUUAGUGGGCGCAACAUCUGUGGUCAUAUGCCGGAGAGAGACAGAAGGGGAAGGAAGGAAGGUUUUGUUUAGUGGGCGCAACAUCUGUGGUCAUAUGCCGGAGAGAGACAGAAGGGGAAGGAAGGAAGGUUUUGUUUAGUGGGUGCAACAUCUGUGGUCAUAUGCCGGAGAGAGACAGAAGGGGAAGGAAGGAAAGUUUUGUUUAGUGGGUGCAACAUCUGUGGUCAUAUGCCGGAGAGAGACAGCAGGGGAAGGAAGGAAAGUUUUGUUUAGUGGGCGCAACAUCUGUGGUCAUAUGCCGGAGAGAGACAGAAGGG